AGAUUCUGCCUGCCUGAUUUGUCACCAAGAGCUGCUUUUGGAUCUGGCCAUGGAGCAGAUGAUUCAGAUCAAACACUUCCCAGGAAGCUGGACUGGCUGAGGCUUAAACAGAGUCGUGGGAAGAGAUUUGGGCAUUCAGAUUUCAAAAAACAUUGCAAACCUUUCCACUGGGAUCUCCACAAGUGGAGGCUAGAAAAAGGCAGCCAACAAAGGUAAUGUCUGAAGAUACAACCGCCAUCUAAUGUCUGAGUUUGUGUUAAUUCCGAUGCUUUACUUUUGAUGCCUUGGGAAAUCUCCUACAGUUGCACAGUAUUUGGAGCUUCUGGCUUGUUGUUUGUCUGUGCAACACUUCAUAUAAAGGGAACAGGGGAUGUUCUACUCAGAGUUGCUGAACAGACCUGGAUUCAUAAGCUUUGAAAACAAUCAAACAUUGUAUUUUGUCUAUCUGCCAGAGGCAUGAGGGAAAACAAUCCAGUGAUGAUCUGGAAACCUUUUAGUGUUCUCGUGUCACGUCAGUUUUGGAAGACUUAUCAUAGAAGUCUUCCUGGUAAAAAUCUCCAUGUUUUCCUCAACAGUCUCAAACAAUUUCUAAAGGAUGUCUGAAAAAUAAUCUUCUAAGUGAUAUGGCCUUUGCAUGAACUAACAUUCAUCUCCUGUGGUUUCCAAGAGUACAGCAUCUAAAGAUAGCAUCAAAUAGGUCACUGUUGGUUAGCUGAGACCUUGAGGACAGUUAAGACAUAAUAAUCUGCUGUGCAUUAUUUAACUGCUAGAGGAAGUAGGAUGCUUUAUAGAGAGUGGGAUUUUUUUUUUGUUUGUUUGUUUCUUUUCUGUUGAUAACAGGCCGGUCCAUGACAUAGGUGCAUCAUCAGUAUUUCAGUGAUGAGCCAUGUUCACUAUCCACUGGCACGUUUCCACCUCCUUACACAUUUCUUCCUUUUGCUGCCAAUGGUCUGGGUCAACAUCUUGGAUUAUGGCUAGAAGUAGAUUUCAUUAACACUCUCAACAUCAGCUGGGAAUGUAGUUCAUGGUGUAAAAUUAGACCCUCACUUGUAUCUGUUCUUUGCAUUCUUAACUCCAAAAUAGGGAUGUAGUGAGCCACUGCUGUUCUUGGUAGUCUCAUAUUGUUCCUGAUCAUGUCCAGCCACAGAGAGAUGUUAAGGGAGAUAUGUGGGAAAUGAACAGCGUAAUCUAGAUUUGUGGGAGCAGUUCUGGAAUAAGACAAUGACUUGACAGGUUUUUUAAGAAGAUGUGAAAGAGAACAGAGCUGAUGUGUGUCUCAGUGGGCAAGUGCUCUUGGAUCAUGAGGAUGGCUCCACAGCUGCCUUGAGUGAUUUACAGGCUUUGGGCAGACUGUUUCUGCUGCAAGCUGGCAGAGGAGCCCCCAGCGUAGUGCACAACAGUCCUUGUUACAGCCUGCAGCCUUGUGCUCCUGCCCGCGAUCUGGAAGUAAUUGACUCUAGCAGGUGAGAUGCCAACUGUGAAAGACACAGUGCUCACUCUUCCGUCCCCACAGUUUCAGCCUGAACAUAACUAGUAUCACAGAAGAGGUGUUAGCUGUCAACAGACUUCCUUUUUGAGG